UACGUAGGGGGCAAGCGUUAUCCGGAUUUACUGGGUGUAAAGGGAGCGUAGACGGAAUUGCAAGUCUGAUGUGAAAAUCCGGGGCCCAACCCCGGAACUGCAUUGGAAACUGUAUUUCUAGAGUGUCGGAGAGGCAAGUGGAAUUUCUGGUGUAGCGGUGAAAUGCGUAGAUAUCAGGAGGAACACCAGUGGCGAAGGCGGCUUGCUGGACGAUGACUGACGUUGAGGCUCGAAAGCGUGGGGAGCAAACAGG
rnacentral:rRNA from 1 species